rnacentral:rRNA from 1 species
CCUACGGGGUGUUGCAGUGGGGAAUAUUGGACAAUGGGCGAAAGCCUGAUCCAGCCAUGCCGCGUGUGUGAAGAAGGCCUUCGGGUUGUAAAGCACUUUCAGUGGGGAAGAAAGCCUUGGGGCUAAUACCCUCGAGGAAGGACAUCACCCACAGAAGAAGCACCGGCUAACUCCGUGCCAGCAGCCGCGGUAAUACGGAGGGUGCGAGCGUUAAUCGGAAUUACUGGGCGUAAAGCGCGCGUAGGCGGUCUGAUAAGCCGGUUGUGAAAGCCCCGGGCUCAACCUGGGAACGGCAUCCGGAACUGUCAGGCUAGAGUGCAGGAGAGGAAGGUAGAAUUCCCGGUGUAGCGGUGAAAUGCGUAGAGAUCGGGAGGAAUACCAGUGGCGAAGGCGGCCUUCUGGACUGACACUGACGCUGAGGUGCGAAAGCGUGGGUAGCAAACAGGAUUAGAUACCCUUGUAGUC